rnacentral:tRNA from 1 species
AAGAUACUAGUAAAAUGCUAUUACAUUGCUUUGUCAAGGCUAAAAUGUGGGCUAGAUUCCCACGUAUCUUA